CAACUCAACAGUCCGAUCCCACAUCAGCCACCGGAAGAGCUAUACUCGAUUUUAUCUCCUAUACCCUUCGCUGUCUGGGGGUAGAUAUACUGGGUCCAUUGCCUAAAGCUAAAGGUCAGGUUAGCUUUGUCAUAGUUGCUAUUGAUUACAUGACUAAGUGGGUAGAGGCGAAUCCACUUCGGUUAAUAACGGAGCAAGAAUGUUUGAAGUUCGUAAAAGAGUCCGUAGUGUUUCGCUUCGGG
rnacentral:lncRNA from 1 species